GCGGGUAUAUCAACACUUCUGAUGGAACGGCAGAUGUUAAAACAAUUUUGAAUUCGCCGUACAACAUAAAACGUCAAUUUAAAUUUAAAAAAUUCAAAAUUUAAUUUUUUGUGUUUUGUUUGAUUGUUCAAUUGAUGGAAUAAUUUCAAUAAUUCGUGGAAUAUCUUGUUUAAUAUAUAUUUUAGUUAAGAAGUGCUUUCGGUAAUUACUAAGAAAAAUUUACUGAUUAAAAUGUAGUUAUUUUUUUUUCGUGCAAAAACUGAAGUCGUUAUAUGAAAAGCUAAAUUUUUUGGUGUUCCUAAUGAUAAAGCAAGAAGAAUGAAAUGGAGUGUUGCUUGUGGUACGAGCUUGACAAAGUCAAAAAUAUGUGUUAGCCACUUUAAUCCGAAAUACAUAACGGGUAGUAAUAUAAACCUGCGGGUUUUGCCAAUCGCGGUUCCACAAUUGCAACAUAAAGAUAUAUUGCCAAGAUAUUUCCGUAUCCUAUUUUGCGAAGACGUCGAAUACGACAAUGACGUUUAAGCAGCACUUUGAAGUUUUAAAGAAACAAAAAACUAGUCGAGAGAUUGAUUAUAUGAGUGUGAGAGAGUUGCAAGGAACUGUGUUGUUUGCUUACUGGCGGCGACUGAAUAUGUUGUUGAUGGAUUUGUUUUUCAAUUGUUGCUGCUGAUAACAAGAACAAAAAUAGUAGUUUAAGGUGUUGCUGAUGCAAUGCUGGUACCCUUUACAGUUGAUGUUGUUUUGGUUGUUGCUGCUGCCAAAGUCACUGGGAGCAGGAAUUGAAAUUGCCAAGGUAGCCAACAACGUCGACGUCGUUGUUUAAAAAACACAAUGUCUCUUUGCCGUUGCAGUUGCUGUUGACAGCUUUGUUGUAUUCUUUUAUUAGUUGGUUUGCUAUUGACAACUGAGUUAACUUUUGUAUCCAACAAAUAAUCCAAAGCGCUCUCAACGAACACGCUUGAGUGCAUUUUGUAUAUAAAUACAAGAUGUUUUUUUUUUAA